UACAAAUGGCUUCUUCUAACUAUUGUUUAUAGGAAAGCUGAUUGGCAUUUGUGUGUAUGUGUCUAGUAGUUUAAUUUGUUUACAAGAAGCAGAUGAACAUAAAAGGAAAAGGAAGAAAAAAGAGAAGUGUAUUGGCUUCCUGGGUUUGUUUAUUUGUUUUGCUGUCGUCUUUUGUCUCACUCUCUCUUUUCAGUGCCAUAUCAAACAGAGUGGUGUAAUGGAUUAGUGUAACCCCCAAAUGACCCUGUCCAAUGGAGCGACGUGCUUCUGAGCUCCCAGGAUUUCUCACUCAACCAGCCACCACACCACGCUGCCUUAGAAAGCUAACCAUUACUUCCACACUCCUUUCCAGAGACCAGGAAACAGAAAUUGGGUGGUUAAUAAACCGCAUCUCACACUGCCUUGGCGCACCACUGCUCUCAGAGGGUUCAAAUAAGCGCCAGCGUUGAACCAUGCUGCACCCCCUCCUCCUUCUCCGUUCAUUCACAGCCGCGUAAUUGGUAGUCAAUUUGCGCUCCCUCUUCGCCCAUUGUGCUGCAUUUUGCUCCGACAGAGUGCGGAAGAUUAAUGGCCAAGUGCAGUCAAAGGGGCUGCGCCUCAGCAAGCAUGGGCAGCCCUAAAUCCAUUACACCAAUUUCCCCUGUCCUGCGCUCCAAAAAACGCCAGAGAGAGGAUGAAGAGAAUAAAAGAAUCAAAGCAGUCAGAUGGCCUUUGAAACACAGGAAAACAAAAGAGAGAGUGAGACAGGGAAAAAUCACAUUCAGAUUUGAGAGCAUCCGUGCAGAUAUUGUACCCGCCAUUUUGCCUUGUUUUCUUGGGUUUGUCUUUAUAAUUGCUGAAAAUCAUUCAGUUCACUGUGUAUAAUAGUUUUAUGCAGCAGCAAGUCUUAGGUAUGUAUGCUGUCUUUUAUAACAUUGCAGUUUGAUUUUUCCUUUUAUUUCUCAAAUAAAGAGUCCUGUGCCCUAAAUUGUAUCUAGCUGUGCCUUACCUUGCCCUAACAGUGCCCCACUUUGUACCCUGCUAUGCCCUAAUCACAUUGUCUCUGCAGCCUAACCAUGUCUUCCCUGUACCCUAGUGUACACUAUCUAUGUCCUAAUUGUGUCCUCUCUGUUACAUAACUGUGUCUUCUCUGUUACUUAAUCGUGUCUUCUCUGUUACUUAAUCGUGUCUUCU